UAAGUUUAUUGGAUAAUUUAUAAGUAAAGUAAUAUAUUAAUUAGUAUUAUUUAGAAAAUUGUGUUAGGCUUUGUACCGUAAGGGAUUAUGUUAUUUUUAUAAAAGAAGUAAUUAGUAUUUGUACCUUGUGUAUUAGGGGUAGUUAAAAUAGUAAAUAGGUUAUUCUUCCCGAUGUAUUUGUGGGCUAAGGCUUUAUUAUAUUAGUGUAGCAUAACUGAUAUUAAUUUGGCUUUAGGGAUGAUAUAUUAUUCAAACAAUAAGAUUUCUGGUUCUUUAAGAAGUUAAUUUAAUUAAGGUUAAGUUUUUAUCUAAAUUUAAUUGAUACAUAUAAAGGGACAAUCUUUUAUAGGUAAUUUAUAUAAAUGUUUGAUUUUUAAAUUAUUUAGAUUUAAAAAUGAUCUAAUUUUUACAGUGUUAUAAUGAAGUUUAGAUUUAAUUUAUUUUAAAUAAAUGUUAUAUUUUAUAUUAAAGUAUUUUGGUAAUUAGUAUAUAGUGAUAAUAAUGAUUAUAUUAGUAGUAUUUUAGUUAUUUAAGUUGUUUGUGUGUUUAAUUUAGUUUAAGGAAUUCAGCAAUCUUAAUUCUCGCCUGUUUAGCAAAAACAUGGUUUUUUGGUUUUUAAGUAAAAAAUCUGGCCUGCCCACUGAAAGUUUGAAGGGCUGCAGUAUUUUGACUGUACAAAGGUAGCAUAAUCAUUAGUCUUUUAAUUGAAGACUGGUAUGAAAGGUUUGACGGGGAUUAACUGUCUCAAACUUAAAAUUAUAAACUUUAUUUUUAGGGGAAAGAGCCUAAAUAUUACAAAGGGACGAGAAGACCCUAUUAAAUUUUAUUUUUAAUAGGUAAAAUUUUAUUUAAAUAAAAGUUUUACUUACUAAAUAAUUUUGCUGGGGCGGCAAGUAAUUAACAUUACUGUUUUAUAAUAUGUUAUGAAACGUUAUUAUGAUCCAUUUUGGAUGAUAUGAAGACUAAGUUACUAUAGGGAUAACAGCGUAAUAUUUUUUGAGAGUUCAUAUUGACAAAAAUGUUUGCGACCUCGAUGUUGGAUUAAGAAGUCUUACUGGUGCAGUAGUUGGUAUAGAAGGUCUGUUCGACCUUUAAAUUCUUACAUGAUCUGAGUUCAGACCGGCGUGAGCCAGGUCGGUUUCUAUCUUUUGUUGUGCUUUUUUUAAAUUAGUACGAAAGGACCAUUUAAUAUAAAAUUUUUAUUAUAAGGGAUUUAAGUAAAAUUUUGUGAAAAUAGAUAGUA
rnacentral:rRNA from 1 species